rnacentral:misc_RNA from 1 species
AAGUCGUAACAAGGUUUCUGUAGGUGAACCUGCGGAAGGAUCAUUACCGAGAGUACCUGGCUUCAGCCUGGCUACUUUUACCCAUGUCUUUUUCAGUACCAAAGUUUCCUCGGUGGCUCACGCUGCCGGUCGGACUCCAUUCAAACCUUUUUGCAGUUGCAGUCAGCGUCGGAAAACAAACUUAAUAAUUAAA